rnacentral:tRNA from 1 species
GGUCUUAUAGUGUAGUUGGUUAGCACACGGGAUUCUGAUAUGGAAGCUUUCCCGGGACCCCGGUUCGAGUCCGGGUAGGACCU